AUAUAUAGUUAUUCAUACAGAUAAGAUCCUAGAAUUUGAGCUAGGAGGGGCAUCAGAGGCCAUUCUUGUCCAACCUCCAGGGUUGUAUACGGAGUCCUUGGAGGGUAAGUGAUGUGCCAAGUUCACCCAGUGAGCAAGUGCCAAAGCAAAUACACUGAAUCACUAUGAGAUCUUUGAGAAGUCCAUAUUCAUUAGUUAUAUUUAGUAAUUGCUUAGAGGAUGGUUGACUGGCAUCGAUGCUCCCUACCAACCAAAAGUCCCCUUUGGAAAACCCUUAUGGAAGGGGUUAGGGGAGGUAUGUACCUGACUGUGUGGCUUCUAGAAAACUCAAAGCAACUAUCUCAAACUGAAAAGCUUGCCUUAAAUUUACAAACCAAGAAGAAAGUAUUUAGUAGAAAGGGAAAACAAAAGAUACAUUUGUGGUGUUAAUUAUAGUAUCAAUAACAAAUAACUAUUGAUUCUAGGAUGAAAUGGAGGUGUUAGAAAUCAGAGAUUCAAACAAGCCUUUGUGAAAAUAAGAUGCUUAAGAGGACUUGAACCCAUGUCCUUUGACUAUGGCACUAGGUUACUUUCCACUAUUCCACAUCAGGAUGUCCAUUACCCUGAAGUUUCCAUAUUAUGACCUCUUCUUCAGAUCUAUUACUUACGCAUUUGCAUGGUUUCCAGUUCUCACAGUAGUUGAGUUAUUUUCUGAAUAUUUUCUGUUGUCUAUAAUUUUGUUUUUAGCUCUAAUAAAUCUAGUUUUGGUUACUUCUAUUGAUCCUUUCAAAUUUUCUCUAUGUUCUCCAUAUUGGAUGUCUUAUCUGCGCCUCAAUUUCAAUGAGUUGAAACUUGCUAUUUACCAUCCCAAACCUCUUUUUCCUUUAUGCUUCCCUUUCUAUUUACAAACAUCCUCUCCUGUACAAUAAGUUCUGCCAUAACACUUGUUUCAAAAAAGUGCAUUUGUUAAGGAAAAAAGUGAAUUUGAUAUGUUAGGGAACAUUUUGAACAUAACUUGAAUUUUGAGUUUGUUUAUGCGUGAUUUCUUCUCUGAAAAACUAUGAGAGAACAUAGAAGACUGUACUACUUCACAACAACAUAAGCUGCAGCCCUUCCAAUGCCUAUUUCCAUAAACAAACUUCAGAUGUUUUUCGCAGUAAAAUACUAUAUGUAUUGCAUAUCUUUUGGUGCAGUGGGACCUGUGGGCUGAUGAGGAUUAAUCUAGCCCUCCCCGCCUUCCACCACCUUCAACCAUGUUUCAGCUCCUUGAAGUUCUAUCCUCCAGGCCAGCUAGUAGGAACCAGGGUGCAAGUUAAACGUCAUGUAUUUCUUAACCAUUUAACAUUAUAAAACUGUGCUGCUGUCUUUAAUAGGUUCCUUUUUUUUAAUGUCACUAAUGCAAUUUUUGAGCAUUGUUCCCCUAAACCAAUUUUUCCUAUGAGCCUUGUGAUUUUUAUAGUUUGAUUUUUUCUUAGUGAUAUGCUUUUUGGGAAUGUAUAAGUUGUUAUAGCAGAGCUGACUGUAUGUGUUAUGUAACAGUCACUCUAGAACAAGAAAGUAUCUUAUUUUGUGCUACUUGAAGAAUCAUUCACACUUGCAAAUUUACAAAAAAAAAAAGGAAAGUUAAAGCUGGAGGUAGGAAAGUGGAGCAGAGUUUUAGCUCAUUUUCUCUUUUCAACUUCAAUUAAUAUUCACUUUUAUUCACACGUCCUUACCUCAAAUAUAGCAAGCAACACCCACUCAAGCAGCAUGGGUAAGAAAGGAAUAGGCAGAAAGUUACACACCUGAAGCCUCCCUUUCUUUUGUUUUAAUAGAGAUUGUAAAACUUCCUUCUAUCUUUUCCAGCCUCUAGGCAUUUGAAGAUCUAAGCCCUAGAUUGUAGGGUCAUCUCUGUUCCACCGAGGGGCAUAAAAAGAAGGACUUUUGUAGAGGGGUUGGUCAUUCAAAAGAACUAAAUCAGGCUUUUCUUCAGACUGCUUUAUCUAAUUUGUGAUUCAAGGCCUCUACCCUCUUCAAAAAAUGUUAGGCCUUCUGUUUGUUGAUGCCUCUUGAAUCCUUUAAGAAGGCUGAUAGGUUGAUUGGCUAAUAUGACAGAAAAAGGAAAUGACAAAUAUUGGAGGGAAUAUGGGAAAAUUGAGAUACUAAUGUACUGUUGCAUCAAACUUUGAUACCCUUUGACGCCCAAAGGGUAAUCAAACUGUGCAUAACCUUUGAUCCAGCAUACCACUAGGAGGUCUGUAUCCCAAAGAGAUUAAAAAAUAAAAAAGGGAAAAGGAUUCA
ensembl:lncRNA